UGUGGGGGAAGCUACACCCUAAGAAAGUCAGAGCAGCAAGAUGGAAGUAGCCUAAGACCCUGAAAAAUGCACAAAGAAGAAUCACCCGACUGGCUUGGACUUUCAUGUGAAAGGAAUGAACCUCUGUCUUAGUAAAGCCACUGUCUUUACUAAGUUCAGGGUCCUUGUCACGUUCACUGAGGCUGUAACAUAAUUGUUAGAAAGAACAGGAGUGGGAGGGGAGAUGGAGUCGGAGAGUCAGGCAGAGGUUAGAUCACCUACAGGCCAAGGUGGAGGAAGAAACAGGCGACACAGGACUCAAGGACAACACCUGCUCCCAGGCAAAAGGAGUUUGCUGUGGGUGCCCCUCCCUGUCUGUGUGUCCAGUGUGUGGAUAUUCUUUAUACUUUGCCCAUACUGUACAAAUGCUUUUUUUCUAUUCAAUAUUUAGAAGACAUUGCAUUAAAUAGCAAGAUGGCAGAUGAACAUCAGGAAAGAACAUUAGGAACAUCCACAGUGUUCCAUCCAGGAACCUUCACCAUGGAAACCCUUGUGCUCAUGGGCCUGGUCUCAAGACACAUUCAGCUGUUGGGGAUCAGAGGCCGCACUCAUCGUAGCAGAGAGGCAGGACCAACUGGGAGAGGGUCAUUCUGUGACACCUACUGCAUCACCGGGCUGUGUGAAGUGACUCAGCUGCCAGAACUCACACAAUAUCAUUCUACACCAAAACCUCACGGGAAAAAUGCUCCACGACCCUCAGACUUAAACAGCAGCACUGGCUCCUCCCCAGAUCUCCAGCUCCCUGACCCUCAAACUCCAACUGCAGCACCAGCUCCACCUGGGUCUCCAGCUCCAUGA
rnacentral:lncRNA from 1 species